AGUCAUUUCACUCAGUGUACAACAUGGAUGCACACCCUUUCUUGUGUGAACCAUCUUCCAGCAUAAAUGAAAAAAUAAUUCUACGAGAGACAAGGACCUGACACCAAUCUUAUCUGGCGUUAGCAGUUAUUGGUAUUAGUCAUAUCACUCAGUGUACAGCAUGUCUGCAUGCCCUAUCUUGUGUGAACCAUCUUCCAUCAUAAAUAAAAAGAGAGCUAGUUUUCCGCAGACAAGGACAUGACACCAAUCUUGAAAUCAACAUCUACAAGGAAUAUCUGGGUCGCCUCACUAGGUGUACAGCAUGGAUGCGCACCCUCUCUUGUGUGAACCAUCUUCCAGCAUAAAUAAAAGAGGCAUUCUCCGAGAGACAAGGAUCUGACACCAUCUACAUGGAAUGUCUGGCGUGAGCAGUUAUUGGUAUAAAGGUGAGUUAUCCAAAAGAGGCAUUGGAUUUGACGUAAAGCUCUUUAAAAUAUUAAGUUACAGUGCCGGCCGCAGGAAACGUCACGCCCGAGCACGCAAACACCCUAGGGGGCUUUCGCGUCUAACCGAGGGUAUUCAAGGGGAGCAGACUAGGGCGUUUAGCCGCACCCGCAGUUUCCUGCAUGCUCUAUAAUAUUGGCCGUGCCCGCACUUAUCCUAGGGAAACCUAGGAUACGUACCAUGCAUUAUGUUUACAUGUGCAUGUAAUUUGGUCAUCUUGUGAUAGACCAUUAUGUUUUUAAACUAGCGUGAUCGGAAUCUAUUGUAGAUUUUUUUUUUUUUUAGAUGUUAUUUGUUUUCUUUCCUUUCAUUUUUUAAGUUACGUUUUCCCUUUUUAAUUCUUUUCCCUUAUUCCUUCUUUCCCUUUCUUCCUUCUUUGCUUUCUUCCUGUUUUCUUCUGUCUUUGUUUCUUUCAAAUAAUGAAGGAAUUCUUUUUCUUUCUCUCUUCCUCCAUUUUUCUUACUUUUAUCUUUUCUCUCCUUAUGUUUUAUCUUUCACACAUUUAUUCAUCUUCCCUUCCUUUAUUUUAAUUCUUUCUUUCUUUAUUCAUUUCAAGUAAUGACGGAAAUUGUUAUCUGUCUUUUAUUCUUUCUUUUAUCCUUUUAUUCAAACUUUUUUCCUUUUAAUUUUUCCUUAUUUUUUCUUUCCUCUCAAUUCAUUUCUUGUUUCCUCAUUUUUUUCUCUUUUCUUUCUUCCGCUCACCCUCCCUUCCCCUUUCUUAAUAUAUUACGUUAGCAAGUCUAACACUGUGUAGCCUUUUUGUUGAUUUUUUGGCCUGGCUCGGUCGAUCCGAUGGUACAUAGUGCUUUGUCGAUUGUCCCGUAUUUAAUUUUGUGAAAUCUGGUCACCCUGGCUGGAACAUCAAAUUUAUUAUUUUUCAUUUACCGCAAUGAAUCUAAUCAAUUAAUCUAAUUUGAUGCAUUGGGUAAACUUUUUUCCUUACGCCUUACGUGGGAGACAUACAUGUAUCAUAAACUUGUUUUAAAAAAAUAGGUCACAAUUGUGAUUUAAUGUCAUGGAGAUUAGUGCUGCCACCAAACGGAUAUCCGAACGGUUUCCGCCCGCGUGGAUGGAUAACGGUUUCCAUUUUUCGGGUUCGGGUAUCCGUGGACACUGAUUCACCACUUUCCUGUCACAAAAACUCAUUAAAUUUAGUAAGACUCACCAACAAAAUUUAUUAGUUUUAGUCGCCAAUAUAAUCACCAAUAUCAAUUAAUCUUCUUCGGUAAUAUAUUCCCGCCGAAAACCAUCGUUUUUAUAUCAGUUUUGAAACAUGACCUUAUAUCAGUUUUGGAGCUUGACCGUCCGUGAAUGGAGUAAAGUUCCGUUCUGACAACGAUGGCUAUUUUACUAUGGUUUCGCUUAAGAUCGUUUUUCUUUCCCGUCUUAUGUUUUGAUGAUUUCAAAUGCGUAACUUAUCGUAUACUUUCUUACCUCGACUUUCAAUGCGAGUGAAGAAUGUUCAAAGAUAAUUUGGAACCAUUUAAGCAUCAAAUAAAUGUAUCAGUAUCACUGAACAUCCUGUGUGCAUUUUAGGUCACAUGACCAAGGUCAAAGGUCAAUGAUCUUUGGCCAUAAUGGGGGUAUUUGUUGCAUUACCAUCAUAACUUUAAAAGUUUAUGGAUCUGAUUCAUGAAACUUGGACAUAAUAGUAAUCAACUAUUACUGAACAUCUUGUGCAAGUUUCAGGUCACAUGAUCAAGGUCAAAGGUCAUUUAGGGUCAAUGAACUUUGGUCAAAUUGGGGUAUUUGUUGAAUUACUGCCAUAACUUUGAAAGUGUGUUGGUCUAGUUCAUAAAACUUGGACAUAAGAGUAAUCAAGUAUCACUGAACAUCCUGUGCGCAUUUUAGGUCACAUGACCAAGGUCAAAGGUCAAUGAACUUUGGCCAUAAUGGGGGUAUCUGUUGAAUUACCAUCAUAACUUGGAAAGUUGAUGGAUCUUACUCUUGAAACUUGGACAUAAGAGUAAUCAAGUAUCACUGAACAUCUUGUGCGAGUUUCAGGUCACAUGAUCAAGGUCAAAGGUCAUGUAAGGUCAAUGAACUUUGGCCACGUUGGGGGUAUUUCUUGAAUUACCAUCAUAUCUCUAUGAGUGUAUGGGUCUAGUUCAUAAAACGUGGAAAUAAGAGUAACCAAGUAUCACUGAACAUCUUGUGCGAGUUAUAGUAGUUUUCAAAAUCAGCACUGCUGAGCUUGCGUGAUGCAGGUGAGACGGCUAGAGGCAUUCCACUUGUUUGUAAUUUAUUUAAAUUGAAAUGCGUAACGAAAUAUUCAUUUUCAGUACUUUUUUCUCACAUCAACUUCGAUAUGAAUGAAGAAUGAAAAUAAUUUUGAAAUCAUGUAAACGUCAAAUGCAUGUUGAUUGGCCAAUUUUUUUUGUUUCUUUUGAUUUAUUUAUCAAAUCCAAAAUAAUGAAUCAUCCCUUUUCUUUCUUAAACUGUCAUUAAUAAUGAUUAAUUACAAUGAAACUGUCCAUUAUCUAGAUGUCAAUUGUAUAUCCACUAUAAAUUUUGAUAUCCAUCAUCAUGUAAACAACAAUACUUAAAUAAAAGGCGGUAUCGUCCCAGAAAGGUUCAUGAUGUGCGCCCGCCGAGUCGUAUGUGGUCGGUUGUGAAUCGACGUGUUUUGCAGUAAAACUUACUGGUGAUGAACGUAAGUGAUUAGUUACUGUUACUGUGAUUAAAUAUUGUCUUGAAUCUUUGUUAGAAGUGUGAUUAUGUUUCAGAAGUUGAGAAAUGAGAAGCUUGGCUAUAAUUUUGGGAAUGGGGAGAAACCCGACAUGAAAAUGAAAAUAUUCCAAGUACAAUCCCAUUUGAAGGUGUAGCGAGUAUAAUGUGGCCAAAUAUAGAUCGGACGAUUCACUCCAGACACGUUCAGACAGGACAGCACGUGCGUGAGCUGAAUGAUGUAGGCCUGUCUGGAUUUAGACUUUUAGUAAUAGUAGACUCGCACUUCACUCGCCUCGGUCAAAUUCAUUGCAUCUUAUUUCAUUCGAUCGGAACUAAAAAAAUAAACACACAUACUCUCGCAACAAUUAAAUGAGAUCGUAACUAGGCCCGACUUGUAUAACUCAAAUAAUAGUCAUUUACACAGUCAUACGAUCUACAUUUGUAGCCGUAGCCUCACGCUAACUCACAUUAGUCAAAUCCGAUUGCAAAACAGACUCAACCCAAAAUAUUCAGCUUCUCGUAAUUUCGUGGUUUUCAGAAAUUUUUUUAAUUAGCGCAAGCUGACUCUCGCCAUCAUCAGAUAGGUUAAAAACUCAAAUAUAACUGAAAAUCUUAAAUAUAACUCAAAUAAGUGCAAAUGGAUAUUAUUUUUUAUAUUUCAGGGUAAAAUUUCGGAUACCCGUCUGCCGUCCGGUUUUCAGUGUCGGGCAUCCGAAUAUUGAAAUAUCCGUUUCAAGUCAGGCCUAAUGGAGAUCAAUUCUCUAUCUUGUGGGAUAAGUUUUUGUCUCGCCUGCAUAGCAGAGCGAGACUAUAGGCGCCGCUUUUCCGACGGCGGCGGCGGCGGCGUCAACAUCAAAUCUUAACCUAAGGUUAAGUUUUUGAAAUGACAUCAUAACUUAGAAAGUAUAUGGACCUAGUUCAUGAAACUUGGACAUAAGGUUAAUCAAGUAUUACUGAACAUCCUGCCUGAGUUUCAGGUCACAUGACCAAGGUCAAAGGUCAUUUAGGGUCAAUGAACUUAGACCAUGUUGGGAAAAUUAUUUUCAAAAUCUUAACCGAAGGUUAAGUUUUUGAAAUGACAUCAUAACUUAGAAAGUAUAUGGACCUAGUUCAUGAAACUUGGGCAUAAGGUUAAUCAAGUAUUAGUGAACAUCCUGCUCGAGUUUCAGGUCACGUGACCAAGGUCAAAGGUCAUUUAGGGUCAAUGAACUUUGGUCAAGUUGGGGGUAUUUGUUGAAUUACUAUCAUAACUUUGAAAAUUUAUGGAUCUAGUCCAUGAAACUUGGACAUAAGGUUAAUCAAGUAUUAGUGAACAUCUUGCCUGAGUUUUAGGUCACAUGACCAAGGUCAAAGGUCAUUUAGGGUCAAUGAACUUUGGCCAAGUUGGGGGUAUUUGUUGAAUUACCAUCAUAACUUUGAAAAUUUAUGGAUUUAGUUCAUGAAACUUGGACAUUAGGUUAAUCAAGUAUCACUGAACAUCCUGUACGAGUUUCAGGUCACAUGACCAUGGUCAAAGGUCAUUAAAGGUCAUUGAACUUUGGCCGUGUUGGGGGUAUUUGUUGAAUUACCAUCCUAACUGUGAAAGUUUAUGGAUCUAGUUCAUAAAACUUGGGAUAUAAGAGUAAUCAAGCAUCACUGAACAUCCCCUGUGAGUUUCAGGUCACAAAACCAAGUCAAAGGUCAGUUAAGGUCAAUAAACUUAGGCCAUGUUGGGGUAAUUGUUGAAGUGCCAUCAUAACUUUGAAAGUUUAUGGAUAGAGUGAAUGAAAUGUGGACAUGGGUGUAGUUGACAGUCUUAAGUCUUCGUUCAAAUGUCAUUUAUGGUCAAUGAACGUGGUAUUAUGUCAUUAUAUGAAUGAUGUUUUUGUGAAUGAUUAUUUUAUAGUAGUUUUCAAAGUUAGCACUGCUGCUAUAUUAGAUUGCGUAAUGCAGGCGAGACUGCCAGAGGCGUUCCACUUGUUUUUCCAUACGUACCCAUUCCUCUCCCUUCAGCGUGAACUAUACACAUAAUCCCAUCUCCUUAUGAACAGUGUAAGAACUAGAAAACAUUUGAAACAUUCUUCAUUGAGUUUUAACGGGGUGCACAGGGUGGAAUUAGGAAAGAAGAAAGAAAGGCAUAU